AGGCAGUCGGACGGGCAGGGAGGCUGCAAGGCAUGGCGUGAGCGGGUGGAGCUGUCAGGACUGCCCCAGACCCUGGCUCAAAGAUGCCCGACCCCAGGACCCUGCCUCUGCUGGAUGGUGAAGGCCAACUUCCCCUCUGUUGGAGCUGGCCUGCCCGUUGUGGGAAGGGCUGGGAGGAGGCCCAGGACAAUGCAGAACAGACAGGACGUUUCACAGAGCAGGCUGCCAUGUCCCUCGGGGCCUUGGGGGCUGCUGAGGCCCUGAGAAAGCCUAUGGAGAGGCCACGUUGAGUCCAGAGGUCCGUGUGCCUCAUGGCCACACCACGGCACCCGUUCACCCACACAAGGGCCAGGAGCAUCCCCUAGGGAGGAGGAGAUGGCAGAUCUGCACAGGCUCUGCGCUCCUCUCUCUCCCGAGCGUCCUCUCCUCUGUGUGGCAGGCUCGGCUCGUGAUGGAGGAGCCCCUUCUGCAGGGCUCUGUUUACAGGGUGCCCGCCCCACAGCCUGUGGCUGCUCCUACUCAUGCCAGGUGAGGCUCCUACACCCACCGGUGGCCACGGGGG
rnacentral:antisense_RNA from 1 species